CCUACGGGAGGCAGCAGUAGGGAAUCUUCCACAAUGGACGAAAGUCUGAUGGAGCAACGCCGCGUGAGUGAAGAAGGGUUUCGGCUCGUAAAGUUCUGUUGAAGGGGAAAAAGAGCGGAGAGAGGAAAUGGUCUCCGAUUGAUAUUACCCUUCGAGGAAGUCACGGCUAACUACGUGCCAGCAGCCGCGGUAAUACGUAGGUGGCGAGCGUUAUCCGGAAUGAUUGGGCGUAAAGGGUGCGUAGGCGGCCUGCUAAGUCUGGAGUGAAAGGUACCGGCUCAACCGGUACAGGCUCUGGAAACUGGCGGGCUAGAGAGCAGGAGAGGGCGGUGGAACUCCAUGUGUAGCGGUAAAAUGCGUAGAUAUAUGGAAGAACACCAGUGGCGAAGGCGGCCGCCUGGCCUGUUGACUGACGCUGAGGCACGAAAGCGUGGGGAGCAAAUAGGAUUAGAUACCCGAGUAGUC
rnacentral:rRNA from 1 species